rnacentral:tRNA from 1 species
UGCCCUGAUCACCGAGGAACGGCGUGCCCAUUUCUGCUGGGCGUCCAGUCUGCUGUUCGAAGUAGUGCUGGACGA